rnacentral:rRNA from 1 species
UACAGAGGUCUCAAGCGUUGUUCGGAUUCAUUGGGCGUAAAGGGUGCGUAGGUGGCGCCGUAAGUCAGGUGUGAAAUUUCGGAGCUUAACUCCGAAACUGCAUUUGAUACUGCGGUGCUUGAGGACUGGAGAGGAGACUGGAAUUUACGGUGUAGCAGUGAAAUGCGUAGAGAUCGUAAGGAAGACCAGUGGCGAAGGCGGGUCUCUGGGCCGAUACUGACGCUGAGGAGCGAAAGCGUGGGGAGCAAACAGG